rnacentral:tRNA from 1 species
UCCCUGACAGCUCAGUUGGUAAAGAAUCUGUCUGCAAUGCAGGAGACCCUGGUUCAAUUCCUGGGUUGGGAA